AACACGAUCAACUCUAGUUAAGAGUUGGGAUUGACCUCAUAUGUUAUCUAGCAUAUCUGGUUCGAAUGUAUUAAGUUGAUGAGCUUCCCAACAUUGCUCAAUGUGUGCUAGCGAGACAGUCGUCCCGAUCUCACAUUACAGCUUUGUUGCAAGGUUCUAUGCACAGCUUUUUAUUUUAUUUUAUAUCAA
rnacentral:misc_RNA from 1 species